GGUUAAGUUACUAAGGGCAUACGGUGGAUGCCUUGGUACGAGAAGCGGAAGAAAGACGCGGCUACCUGCGAUAAGCUACGGAUAGUUGGAAGCAAACUAAGACCCGUAGAUUUCUGAAUGGGGCAACCCGUCACGAGUAAUGUCGUGACACCGGCAUCUGAAUACAUAGGAUGCACGGAGACAACCUGGGGAACUGAAACAUCUAAGUACCCAGUGGAAAAUAAAACAAUAGUGAUUUCCUGAGUAGCGGCGAGCGAAAGGGAAACAGCCUAAACCGACCAACAUGUUAAAGGCAGCAACCGUUGUGUUGGCGGGGUCGUGGAAUAUUUUUGGAGAUAAUUGCUGAAAUCUCGAGGAGUAAAAAAUUAUAUUGUUAGCUGAAUGUUCUGGAAAGUUCAUCCAUAGAAGGUGAUAGGCCUGUAAGCGAAAACAAUGUAACUCUUUGAAAAGUAUUUCCAAGUAGCACGGAGUAAGUGGAAUUCUGUGUGAAUCUGGGAGAACCAUCUCCUAAGGCUAAAUACUCUCUCGUAACCGAUAGUGCAGCAGUACCGUGAGGGAAAGGUGAAAAGUACCCUUAUUAAGGGAGUGAAAUAGUACCUGAAACCGUAUGCUUACAAGCAGUUGGAGUCUCGAUUCGUCGGGAUGACAGCGUGCCUUCUGGAUAAUGAGCCAACGAGUUACUCGUAUGUUGCAAGGUUAACCCGCUAAGCGGGGGAGCCAUAGCGAAAGCAAGUCCUAAUCGGGCGUGUAAGUAACAUGCGGUAGACGCGAAACCGGGUGAUCUAUCCUUGUCCAGGAUGAAGCCCCGAUAAAACGGGGUGGAGGUCCGAACUAGUGUGGGUUGAAAACCGCUUGGAUGAGAUGAGGAUAGGGGUGAAAGGCUAAUCAAACUCGGAAAUAGCUCGUAUUCCUCGAAAUAGCUUUAGGGCUAGCCUCGAGUAAAAGUAUGCCGGAGGUAGAGCACUGAUUGGGCUAGGGCUGUCACAACGGUACCAAACCCAGACAAACUCCGAAUUCCGGACAUAUGUUUCUCGGGAGUCAGGCAGUGAGGGAUAAGCUCCAUUGCCAAAAGGGAAACAACCCAGACCAUCAACUAAGGUCCCAAAAUAAUAGUUAACAGAUAAAGGAUGUUGAGUUGCUUAGACAACUAGGAUGUUGGCUUAGAAGCAGCCAUUCAUUUAAAGAGUGCGUAAUAGCUCACUAGUCAAGCGACUCGGCGUCGACAAUUCCCGGGACUUAAACUAUUUACCGAAGUUAUGGGCUUCAAUUUAUUGGAGCGGUAGAGGAACAUUCUGUAUGCACUGAAGGUGUGGUGUGAGCCAUGCUGGAGCGUACAGAAAAGCAAAUGUUGGCAUAAGUAACGAUAAAUACUGUGAAAAACAGUAUCACCGAAAGUCUAAGGUUUCCUGAGCAACGUUAAUCGUCUCAGGGUAAGUCGAAUCCUAAGCCGAGGCUGAAAGGCGUAGGCGAUGGUAAACAGGUUAAUAUUCCUGUACCUGGUAUGUAUCGUUUGACUGUAAGGAGUGACGCAGGAGUGAAAGGUCAGCCACCUGUUGGAUUAGGUGGUCUAAGCAUGUAGGCGGAGAAUAUAGGCAAAUCCGUAUUCUCUUACGCUGAGGUGUGACGGGGAGUCCGUAGGACAUAAACUGACCGUAACCAUACUGCCGAGAAAAACUUCGUACAGGAGAUCCAUAUCAGAUCGUACCGCAAACCGACACAGGUAGACGGGAUGAGUAUUCUAAGGUGCUCGAGUGAGCCGUGGUUAAGGAACUCGGCAAAUUAACCCCGUAACUUCGGGAAAAGGGGUGCCUCAAGUAGGUGAAGGUCUUCGCGACCUGAGCUGAAAGAGGCCGCAGAGAAAUGGCCCAAGCGACUGUUUAACAAAAACAUAUGUCUCUGC
rnacentral:rRNA from 1 species